rnacentral:tRNA from 1 species
GGGCCUGUAGAUUAGUCGCAGAUGGAUGAUUUUAUAUAAAAAGCAUCCUGAAACGCGUGAUUCGCAUUCACGAGACCGCGGGUUCAAUUCCCGCCAGGUCCA